GACAGAGGGUGCAAACGUUGUUCGGAAUUACUGGGCGUAAAGCGUGUGUAGGCGGUCUCAUAAGUCGGAUGUGAAAGCCCCGGGCUCAACCCGGGAAGUGCAUUCGAAACUGCGAGGCUAGAGUAUCGGAGAGGUUGGUGGAAUUCUCGGUGUAGAGGUGAAAUUCGUAGAUAUCGAGAGGAACACCGGUGGCGAAGGCGGCCAACUGGACGAAUACUGACGCUGAGACACGAAAGCGUGGGGAGCAAACAGG
rnacentral:rRNA from 2 species